UGCAAGUCGAACGGUAGCACAGAGAGCUUGCUCUUGGGUGACGAGUGGCGGACGGGUGAGUAAAGUCUGGGAAACUGCCUGAUGGAGGGGGAUAACCACUGGAAACGGUGGCUAAUACCGCAUAAUCUCGCGAGAGCAAAGUGGGGGACCUUAAUGGCCUCACGCCAUCGGAUGUGCCCAGAUGGGAUUAGCUUGUUGGUGGGGUAAAGGCUCACCAAGGCGACGAUCCCUAGCUGGUCUGAGAGGAUGACCAGCCACACUGGAACUGAGACACGGUCCAGACUCCUACGGGAGGCAGCAGUGGGGAAUAUUGCACAAUGGGCGCAAGCCUGAUGCAGCCAUGCCGCGUGUGUGAAGAAGGCCUUCGGGUUGUAAAGCACUUUCAGCGGGGAGGAAGGUGGUGUGGUUAACAGCCAUAUCAAUUGACGUUACCCGCAGAAGAAGCACCGGCUAACUCCGUGCCAGCAGCCGCGGUAAUACGGAGGGUGCAAGCGUUAAUCGGAAUUACUGGGCG
rnacentral:rRNA from 1 species